rnacentral:rRNA from 1 species
GUGGGGAAUCUUGCGCAAUGGGCGAAAGCCUGACGCAGCCAUGCCGCGUGAAUGAUGAAGGUCUUAGGAUUGUAAAAUUCUUUCACCGGGGACGAUAAUGACGGUACCCGGAGAAGAAGCCCCGGCUAACUUCGUGCCAGCAGCCGCGGUAAUACGAAGGGGGCUAGCGUUGCUCGGAAUUACUGGGCGUAAAGGGCGCGUAGGCGGACAGCUUAGUCAGAGGUGAAAGCCCAGGGCUCAACCUUGGAAUUGCCUUUGAUACUGGCUGUCUUGAGUACGGGAGAGGUGAGUGGAACUCCGAGUGUAGAGGUGAAAUUCGUAGAUAUUCGGAAGAACACCAGUGGCGAAGGCGACUCACUGGCCCGUUACUGACGCUGAGGCGCGAAAGCGUGGGGAGCAAACAGGAUUAGAAACCCGGGUAGUCC